rnacentral:rRNA from 1 species
GAACUAGCGGUCAUCGCGAAUGCAUCUAGAUUUUUAAUUUGAUCAUGGCUCAGAACGACACGCUGGCUGGCAUGCCUAACACAUGCAAGUCGAACGAGACCUUCGGGUCUAGUGGCGCACGGGUGCGUAACGCGUGGGAAUCUGCCCUUGGGUUCGGAAUAACAGUUAGAAAUGACUGCUAAUACCGAAUGAUGACUCCGGUCCAAAGAUUUAUCGCCCAGGGAUGAGCCCGCGUCGGAUUAGCUAGUUGGUGGGGUAAAGGCCUACCAAGGCGACGAUCCGUAGCUGGUCUGAGAGGAUGAUCAGCCACACUGGGACUGAGACACGGCCCAGACUCCUACGGGAGGCAGCAGUGGGGAAUAUUGGACAAUGGGCGAAAGCCUGAUCCAGCAAUGCCGCGUGAGUGAUGAAGGCCUUAGGGUUGUAAAGCUCUUUUACCCGGGAUGAUAAUGACAGUACCGGGAGAAUAAGCCCCGGCUAACUCCGUGCCAGCAGCCGCGGUAAUACGGAGGGGGCUAGCGUUGUUCGGAAUUACUGGGCGUAAAGCGCGCGUAGGCGGCUUUGUAAGUCAGAGGUGAAAGCCUGGAGCUCAAAUCCAGAACUGGCUUUUGAAACUACAUCGCUAGAAUCACUGGGCACGAGGGUUAGUGGAAUUUCCGAGUGUAGAGGGUUGAACAACUCUCCCGGUAAGCACUUACUUUCCCGGGAAAAGAAAACAACCC